GAUGAACGCUGGCGGCGUGCCUAAUACAUGCAAGUCGAGCGAACGGACGAGAAGCUUGCUUCUCUGAUGUUAGCGGCGGACGGGUGAGUAACACGUGGAUAACCUACCUAUAAGACUGGGAUAACUUCGGGAAACCGGAGCUAAUACCGGAUAAUAUUUUGAACCGCAUGGUUCAAAAGUGAAAGACGGUCUUGCUGUCACUUAUAGAUGGAUCCGCGCUGCAUUAGCUAGUUGGUAAGGUAACGGCUUACCAAGGCAACGAUGCAUAGCCGACCUGAGAGGGUGAUCGGCCACACUGGAACUGAGACACGGUCCAGACUCCUACGGGAGGCAGCAGUAGGGAAUCUUCCGCAAUGGGCGAAAGCCUGACGGAGCAACGCCGCGUGAGUGAUGAAGGUCUUCGGAUCGUAAAACUCUGUUAUUAGGGAAGAACAUAUGUGUAAGUAACUGUGCACAUCUUGACGGUACCUAAUCAGAAAGCCACGGCUAACUACGUGCCAGCAGCCGCGGUAAUACGUAGGUGGCAAGCGUUAUCCGGAAUUAUUGGGCGUAAAGCGCGCGUAGGCGGUUUUUUAAGUCUGAUGUGAAAGCCCACGGCUCAACCGUGGAGGGUCAUUGGAAACUGGAAAACUUGAGUGCAGAAGAGGAAAGUGGAAUUCCAUGUGUAGCGGUGAAAUGCGCAGAGAUAUGGAGGAACACCAGUGGCGAAGGCGACUUUCUGGUCUGUAACUGACGCUGAUGUGCGAAAGCGUGGGGAUCAAACAGGAUUAGAUGCCCUGGUAGUCCACGCCGUAAACGAUGAGUGCUAAGUGUUAGGGGGUUUCCGCCCCUUAGUGCUGCAGCUAACGCAUUAAGCACUCCGCCUGGGGAGUACGACCGCAAGGUUGAAACUCAAAGGAAUUGACGGGGACCCGCACAAGCGGUGGAGCAUGUGGUUUAAUACGAAGCAACGCGAAGAACCUUACCAAAUCUUGACAUCCUUUGACAACUCUAGAGAUAGAGCCUUCCCCUUCGGGGGACAAAGUGACAGGUGGUGCAUGGUUGUCGUCAGCUCGUGUCGUGAGAUGUUGGGUUAAGUCCCGCAACGAGCGCAACCCUUAAGCUUAGUUGCCAUCAUUAAGUUGGGCACUCUAAGUUGACUGCCGGUGACAAACCGGAGGAAGGUGGGGAUGACGUCAAAUCAUCAUGCCCCUUAUGAUUUGGGCUACACACGUGCUACAAUGGACAAUACAAAGGGCAGCGAAACCGCGAGGUCAAGCAAAUCCCAUAAAGUUGUUCUCAGUUCGGAUUGUAGUCUGCAACUCGACUACAUGAAGCUGGAAUCGCUAGUAAUCGUAGAUCAGCAUGCUACGGUGAAUACGUUCCCGGGUCU
rnacentral:rRNA from 1 species